CAGUCGCCGCGGUAAUACGUAGGGUGCGAGCGUUAAUCGGAAUUACUGGGCGUAAAGCGUGCGCAGGCGGUUAUAUAAGACAGAUGUGAAAUCCCCGGGCUCAACCUGGGACCUGCAUUUGUGACUGUAUAACUAGAGUACGGUAGAGGGGGAUGGAAUUCCGCGUGUAGCAGUGAAAUGCGUAGAUAUGCGGAGGAACACCGAUGGCGAAGGCAAUCCCCUGGACCUAUACUGACGCUCAUGCACGAAAGCGUGGGGAGCAAACAGGAUUAGAUACCCCUGUAGUCCCUGUCUCUUAUAC
rnacentral:rRNA from 1 species